AGCCAACAAGGCGGCGCACCUCACUGCCACGUGCAGACCACUCGUGGAUACUCUCCAAGCACCACACCACCACUUUGAGCUCCCUAACUGUUGGUAAAGGGCUAUAACAUCGGCUUGUGUGUAAAAGAAACCAUACAAUACCUGGGUAUUGACAACUUCAGCCAUGAGGAAGCAUCUCUAAGGAGCAAACACACCGGCAUGGACACAUUAACCUCCCACCACGACGCUACUUUAGUAGUCAGAAUCAUGUCG